CCUACGGGAGGCAGCAGUGGGGAAUUUUGCGCAAUGGGCUAACGCCUGACGCAGCAACGCCGCGUGGAGGAUGAAGGUCUUUGGAUUGUAAACUCCUGUCAGCAGGGAAAAAGCGAAUCGGCCGAAUACGCCGGUGAGUUGAUUGUACCUGCAGAGGAAGCCCCGGCUAACUCUGUGCCAGCAGCCGCGGUAAUACAGAGGGGGCGAGCGUUAUUCGGAAUUAUUGGGCGUAAAGGGCGCGUAGGUGGCUUGGCAAGUGGAAGGUGAAAUCCCUCGGCUCAACUGAGGAACUGCCUUCCAGACUGCUUUGCUUGAGGCCGGGAGAGGCGAGUGGAAUUCCCAGUGUAGCGGUGAAAUGCGUAGAUAUUGGGAGGAACACCAGUGGCGAAGGCGACUCGCUGGACCGGUUCUGACGCUGAGGCGCGAAAGCGUGGGGAGCA
rnacentral:rRNA from 1 species